AGACCCGAAACCCGGUGAUCUAGCCAUGGGCAGGUUGAAGGUUGGGUAACACUAACUGGAGGACCGAACCGACUAAUGUUGAAAAAUUAGCGGAUGACCUGUGGCUGGGGGUGAAAGGCCAAUCAAACCGGGAGAUAGCUGGUUCUCCCCGAAAGCUAUUUAGGUAGCGCCUCGUGAAUUCAUCUCCGGGGGUAGAGCACUGUUUCGGCCAGGGGGCCAUCCCGGCUUACCAAUCCGAUGCAAACUGCGAAUACCGGAGAAUGUUAUCACGGGAGACACACGGCGGGUGCUAACGUCCGUCGUGAAGAGGGAAACAACCCAGACCGCCAGCUAAGGUCCCAAAGUCAUGGUUAAGUGGGAAACGAUGUGGGAAGGCCCAGACAGCCAGGAUGUUGGCUUAGAAGCAGCCAUCAUUUAAAGAAAGCGUAAUAGCUCACUGGUCGAGUCGGCCUGCGCGGAAGAUGUAACGGGGCUAAACCAUGCACCGAAGCUGCGGCAGCGACACUGAUGUGUUGUUGGGUAGGGGAGCG
rnacentral:rRNA from 2 species